rnacentral:misc_RNA from 1 species
CGGAGGGAUCAUUACUGAGUUAUCUAAACUCCCAACCCUAUGUGAACCUUACCGUCGUUGCCUCGGCGGGCUGGGGAGCUACCCUGUAGUAGCCCCCCGCGCGGCCCGCCGGUGGACCGUCAACUCUUGUUUUUCGUAUGGAAUUCUGAAUGCUUCAACUUAAUAAGUUAAAACUUUCAACAACGGAUCUCUUGGUUCUGGCAUCGAUGAAGAACGCAGCGAAAUGCGAUAAGUAAUGUGAAUUGCAGAAUUCAGUGAAUCAUCGAAUCUUUGAACGCACAUUGCGCCCAUUAGUAUUCUAGUGGGCAUGCCUAUUCGAGCGUCAUUUCAACCCUUAAGCCCUAGUUGCUUAGUGUUGGGAAUCUGAGCCCCCCUCGGGGGCCCAGUUCCUCAAAGUCAUCGGCGGAGUCGGAUCGUGCUCUGAGCGUAGUAAUUCUUUCUCGCUUUUGAGGCCGUUCCGGUGGCUGGCCGUAAAACCCCUAUAAUUCUAGUGGUUGACCUCGGAUUAG